GUUCUCAUUACUAACAACCGGUGUCUCAUAUUACAUCACAAAGCUUUUCGCGCGGAUUAUAUUUCGCACAUAAUUAAAAUUCGCGCAACCCAGCGCUGCGUGAAUUCUAGUACUGCCCAAAUUUUUAUACCGAAGCAAGGUAUAUGAAAUUGUAGCAACAAGUCAUGUUAUGCAAGUUUUUAAUGAUUUAGAUCCAGGUUUAUUAGCAUAGCAUGAUCAGUUGCUAUCUUUUGGGUUUUAUCAAGAGAGCAUGUAAGGAGAUAAGAAACCCCAGAACAAGAAGAUGCCUGUUCCUAGCGAUUGCACGACCUCAUCUUGGCUACGCCACGCAGAUUUGGGCUCCUCAGACAAUUGAUCUGAUUAAACGGGUAGAACGAGUUCAGCGCCGUGCAUCCAAAUUUAUUCUAAAUCUUCCAUACGAUUGUCAGACCAACUACAAGAAUCGGCUUAAAGUAAGCAAGUUAUUACCGCUUAGUUUCUGGCACGAAUAUUUAGACCUCGUGUUCUUAUUCAAGAUGAUGAAUGGUUUGGUGCAUGUUAGCGAUGACAUUAUUCCAGAAAGGAAUGUUGGGAAAGCGAAAAGAACAAGAGCCACGAGCAACCCAGAAAGCAUCUUGCUCCGUGAGACGAAAUGCAGAACGGUGACAUUUCAACGCUCGUUCAUCAACAGAUCGACCAGGAUAUGGAACAUUCUGCCUGAUGAACUGAGACAUCAAUCUUUAAGCUUAGUCAAAUUUAAAUCUUUAUUACUCGAUUACUACCGUUCUGCUUUAAAUCUAGUCUAUGAUCACGAUAAUCCACGGACAUGGAAAUCUAUCUGCCUAAAGUGCAACAAGGCUCGAAGUCUGGAUAGUCCAAUCUCUUGUUGUUUUUAGCGAGUUUGGGAUUUGGCUUUCGCCGCCACUACCGCUACCUCUCGCUGACCUGAUGUGCAUGUAAUUGGUUAGCUCGAUAAACUAUAAUAAUAUUGUUGGUGGCGGUAGUGGCGGUGGAAGUUGAAUCUUGUCUUUGCUAUGUAUUGCAUUGCAUUGCAUUGUAUUGCAUUGUAUUGCAUUGUAUUGCAUUGCACUGCAUUGCAUAAUAUUCAAUUUUGUUCUGUGCGAUGUAGUUUUGUUUUGCGAUAUGUUGUUUUGUGUUGUAUUCUUAAAAUUUAGCAAUUUUUAAAGGGCCCACAGUAAUUGGUGUAUACUGUUGUGGUGUCCCUGCCACUUGUUUGUUGUAAGUGGCGAAGUUUAAUAAAUAAAUAAAUAAGUUGCCGUGGCUAGCUUGCCACUGAAUACUGUACAAUGUCAUAUUGUCA